rnacentral:rRNA from 1 species
AUUGAACGCUGGCGGCAGGCCUAACACAUGCAAGUCGAACGGUAACAGGAAGCAGCUUGCUGCUUCGCUGACGAGUGGCGGACGGGUGAGUAAUGUCUGGGAAGCUGCCUGAUGGAGGGGGAUAACUACUGGAAACGGUAGCUAAUACCGCAUAAUGUCGCAAGACCAAAGAGGGGGACCUUCGGGCCUCUUGCCAUCGGAUGUGCCCAGAUGGGAUUAGCUUGUUGGUGGGGUAACGGCUCACCAAGGCGACGAUCCCUAGCUGGUCUGAGAGGAUGACCAGCCACACUGGAACUGGAACACGGUCCAGACUCCUACGAGAGGCAGCAGUGGGGAAUGUUGCACAAUAGGCGCAAGCCUGAUGCAGCCAUGCCGCGUGUAUGAAGAAGGCCUUCGGGUUGUAAAGUACUUUCAGCGGGGAGGAAGGGAGUAAAGUUAAUACCUUUGCUCAUUGACGUUACCCGCAGAAGAAGCACCGGCUAACUCCGUG